UACGGUACCCUACUUGUGGGAAAAGUGUACACCCUCUGCAGAGUUAAAACCUAUCCGGGUAGCCGUGUCCACGGAAUUGGACGAAUUACGGCUUGGUCACAUAACUAGUGUUUGGGCAAGAAUGUCAUGAGUGUGUGUGUGUGUGUGUGUGGAAUUUCAGAAGAGUCCGGCAGUUGUGCCGUGCGCUAUGACGGACGGGGAGUCCGAUAGCGAUAAAAGCUUGGAUCCUU
rnacentral:lncRNA from 1 species